rnacentral:rRNA from 1 species
UCAAGCGAACAAGGGCGCAGGGCGAAUGCCUUGGCACUGGGAGCCGAUGAAAGACGUGAUAAGCUGCGAUAAGCUUCGGGGAGCUGCAAAUAAGCAUUGAUCCGGAGAUUUCUGAAUGAGGAAACUCACCUGGGUUCAUACUCAGGUACAAUACACUGAAAUUUAAAAUAGGUGUAUUGAGGGAACCGCCUGAACUGAAACAUCUAAGUAGGGCGAGGAAGAGACAUCAAACGAGAUUCCGUAAGUAGUGGCGAGCGAACGCGGAAGAGGGCAAACCGAGAGUAGAAAUACUUUCGGGGUACGGACUGCUUUUAAGACUCAAUCUGUUAACCGAACGGCAUGGGAAGGCCGGUCAGAGAGUGUGAGAACCACGUAGGUGAAAACGGAGAGAGCUGCGCAGGAUCCAGAGUACGGCCAGACACGUGAAACCUGGUCGGAAUACGGGGGGACCACCCUCCAACCCUAAAUACUACCCAGUGACCGAUAGCGUAUAGUACUGUGAAGGAAAGGUGAAAAGCACCCCGGGAGGGGAGUGAAAAAGAACCUGAAACCCUGUGCCUACAAGCACCUAGAGCGCGUCAAAGCGUGAUAGGGUACUUUUUGUAGAACGGUCCGGCGAGCGAUUGUAUGCAGCAAGGUUAAGGACUUAAGGUCUGGAGCCGAAGCGAAAGCGAGUUUGAAAAGGGCGUUAAGUUGCAUAUAAUGGGCCCGAAACCGGGUGACCUACCCAUGGUCAGGUUGAAGUGGAAGUAAAAUUCCAUGGAGGACCGAACCGACCUCCGUUGAAAAGGCGGCGGAUGAACUGUGGGUAGCGGAGAAAUUCCAAUCGAACCCGGAGAUAGCUGGUUCUCCCCGAAAUAGUUUUAGGACUAGCCUCAAGUUAGAUACCUGGAGGUAAAGCACUGAAUAGCCUAGCGGCCGAGAGGUUAGCGAAGCUUAUCAAACUCAGAAUGCCAGAGUAUUGAUGCUUGGGAGUCAGACAGUGUCAGAUAAAUGUCAUUGUCAAAAGGGAAACAGCCCAGAUCUACAGCUAAGGUCCCAAAGUCAGGUUAAGUGGAAAACGAUGUGAAGAUACGCAGACAACCAGGAUGUUGGCUCAGAAGCAGCCACUCAUUCAAAGAGUGCGUAAUAGCUCACUGGUCGAGCGUCUUUGCGCGGAGAAUUUAACGGGGCUAAACCUGACACCGAAGCUUAGGCAAUACAGCAAUGUAUUGGGUAGGGGAGCGUUGUAUACGCGGUGAAACAGUAGCGCAAGCGGCUGUGGAGUGUAUAGAAGUGAGAAUGCCGGAAUGAGUAGCGCGAAUGCAGUGAGAAUCUGCAUGGCCGAAAGCCUCAGGUUUCUGGAGGAAGGUUCGUCCGCUCCAGGUUAGUCGGGAGCUAAGGUGAGGCCGAAAGGCGUAGCCGAUGCACAGACGGUAGAGAUUCCGUCACCACCAAAAGAGUUAAGCACAGGGACACAUAUGAAGUCUCAGAGCCGGGUGUUGGUUCCGGUAGAGAUCGAGGGAAAUUAGUACCGAAGUCUGAGAUGGAAGAUGGCGAGAAAAGCUGUGUGUAUUUCUGAGGUGCCCGUACCGCAAACCGACACAGGUAGGUAGGAAGAAGAUUCUAAGGCCAACGGGAGAAGGGUUGUUAAGGAACUCGGCAAAUUGACCCCGUAACUUCGGGAGAAGGGGUGCUCCAGAGAUGGAGCCGCAGAGAAUCGGCCCAAGCAACUGUUUACCAAAAACACAGGUUUGUGCUAAAUCGAAAGAUGACGUAUACGAGCUGACGCCUGCCCGGUGCUGGAAGGUUAAGAGGAGAUGUGCAAGCAUUGAAUCGAAGCCCCAGUGAACGGCGGCCGUAACUAUAACGGUCCUAAGGUAGCGAAAUUCCUUGUCAGGUAAGUUCUGACCCGCAUGAAAGGCGUAAUGAUUUGGGCACUGUCUCAACAGCCCGCCCGGCGAAAUUGUAGUACCGGUGAAGAUGCCGGUUACCCGCGACAAGACGGAAAGACCCCAUGGAGCUUUACUGUAGCCUAAUAUUGGGUUUCGAUGUUGCAUGCACAGGAUAGAUGGGACUCUUGGAAACCAAGGCUUUGGCUUUGGCGGAGAGGCCGUUGGGAUACCAUCCUUGCGAUAUUGGAAUUCUAACCUGCGGCUCUGAAUCGAGUCGGGGGACAUUGUUAGGUGGGCAGUUUGACUGGGGCGGUCGCCUCCUAAAGAGUAACGGAGGCGUUCAAAGGUUCGCUCAGCUUGAACGGAAAUCAAGCAAAAGAGUGCAAACGCAGAAGCGAGCCUAACUGCGAGACUGACGGGUCGAGCAGUAACGAAAGUUGGAGUUAGUGAUCCGGUGGUAUGUGAGUGGAAAUGCCAUCGCUCAACGGAUAAAAGUUACCCUGGGGAUAACAGGCUGAUCUCCCCCAAGAGUCCACAUCGACGGGGAGGUU